rnacentral:piRNA from 1 species
UCUAAGAAGUUUUUUCAAAUA